rnacentral:rRNA from 1 species
AUGAGGUUCACAUGUUUUUUUCUUUGUGACUUCGCUAGAGCUGCUUGGUUUUCUCAUCCUUGGUUCAUCAGAACAGAUGCUUUAGUUCAGAUCUAUACCAAUAUCCAUAGUAUAAUUCUUACUUUACUUAAUAUGAACCAUCCGCAUGCUUCUGUUGUCAACAUUCUAAAUUUUAUGUGGUGUCUUUGGAAAGCGAGAAAUGAUUAUCUUUUUAAUAGAAAGAAAGCUACCCCUCACCAAGUUAAUAUUGCUGCUACUUCUCUAUCUAAUGAUUUCUGUGAUCUGCUUAACAGUUCUUCACACCAUCAGCCUCAAAACUCCAGUUGUAUCUUAACCCAUACUAAUCAACUUCCCUUGCAGGGACAAACGCUUAAAUCAGAUCUUCUUAUCACGGGACCGAAAGUAUAUACUGAUGCAUCUUUUAAGUGCAAAAAAAUUCCAGGUUUAUUGCAGGGAACAGCAGCCACUGGAGUUGGUAUCUACAUUUCUUUGCCGCGCGAUCAGAAGGAAGUCAGCGUGCAGAUUUAA